AGAACGAACGCUGGCGGCAUGCCUAACACAUGCAAGUCGAACGCUCUUGGUUUCGGCCAAGGGAGUGGCGCACGGGUGAGUAACGCGUGGGAACCUGCCCUGGAGUGGGGGAUAACCGAGGGAAACCUCGGCUAAUACCGCAUACGACCUGAGGGUGAAAGAUUUAUCGCUCUAGGAGGGGCCCGCGUCGGAUUAGCUAGUUGGUGAGGUAACGGCCCACCAAGGCUAUGAUCCGUAGCUGGUCUGAGAGGAUGAUCAGCCACACUGGGACUGAGACACGGCCCAGACUCCUACGGGAGGCAGCAGUGGGGAAUAUUGGACAAUGGGCGCAAGCCUGAUCCAGCAAUGCCGCGUGAGUGAUGAAGGCCUUAGGGUUGUAAAGCUCUUUCACACGCGACGAUGAUGACGGUAGCGUGAGAAGAAGCCCGGCUAACUUCGUGCCAGCAGCCGC
rnacentral:rRNA from 1 species